rnacentral:lncRNA from 1 species
UAAACACACAAAUUUCAUCGUGGCUAGCUUAACUGAAUUAAAGAACAAUUACAUUGUUCACUAGCUGGCCAAGUAAAAACCCCGGAGGUUCAUUAGUCCAACUAUCGUCACUCUUAUUACAAAAACUGAAUUUUGCUAGCUCACGAGCUACAGAGUUUGCAUCACUGUCUAGGAAAAAUUUCACAGGAGAAAAUUAAUCUGUCAUUUUUCCACGGGAUAAAAUAGAGGAUAGAUGGCGACACUGAAGAAGAAAAAUUUGGCGUGUCGGAUGUUAAACGGCAACCGACACAUACGCAGGCUGGUAGACGUACAGAAAGCGCCGGUAACCCACUUGAGUUUGUAUUUUCUUUAGUUUGUGUGGUCAAGAUGCUGCUUGGCUGCACAGGCUUUGAGUUCCAGAAGUUGCAGCCAUAGCCUCAUAUUCCCUCGGACACACGACUUCCAACAAGACUUAUGGUCCAGGAUUUGUAUUAAACAGAAUUCAACGCUAAAACCUUUAUUUCUACAACAGCUGGUGGAUAGAAUUCAAGCACGGAAUUUCCCCGCAAUUUGUAGGUGCAUUGCAUUGCACCACCAGUCAUGAGUCCUUGAUCUAAAUGUUUGGUCUAUGUAUCAGCUGAAAAGCGAAAAGAGAAACAUUUUUUAGGAUAGCUUAAGACAUAUAUACUGAAGCAGUUUUACAUGAUCAAAUAAACAAGGAAAUACUACCCAAAAAAUCACAGGGGAUACCAUCAAAGAAAAACUGUACUGCAAUGUUAACUCAAGUCCAUUCAGUGCAUGAGUUGUUGACGGAUGAGAACUGGGUAUUGCUUUCUACUCCCUCUGUAAAGAAAUAGUAUAAGAGCGUUUAGAUCAUUACUUUAGUGAUCUAAAUGCUGUGUGUCAUUUUUCCAUAGAAAUGAGGACAGAAAAUAGAGGAAGAGAUGGCGACACUGCAUAAGGAAAACAGGCGCCCAGCAGCUGCUGCUUAAGGGAUGUGCCAGCGUCCCAACAAAGAGCUCGGAACUUCCAGCAGGCAGAGAUGGCGAAAAAGGUUUGCAGUCCUAUGUGAUUUCUUUUACUAGUAAGAUCAAGCCAGGAUAAUGCACUGCUAUAAGUAGGAUUAAUAACUUGCACAGUUUUAGUUAUUCAUAAAUUACAAAGGGCGCACCUGUGCUGGGAAUGUUGUCGUACAUGGCAAUCAACACGUACAUGGCCAGACGUACAGAGAGCGACCGGUACUAGAAUUUUACCGAUUCAACCCAUUUGAGCCUGAAACUUCUCUUCAGUUUGUGUGGCCAAGAUGCUGCUGCUUGCUUCUACAGGCCUUGAAUUCUCUCCACAAGAUGCAGCCAAACACACGACUUCCUACACAAGACUUGCGGUCCUGGAUUUGCGCCAACCAAAAUUCAGCACAGAAACCUUUUAUCCUUACCAUCGACAGAAUUUCCAGCACGGAAUUUUUCCCACAGUGAUAUUUUGUUCUACUACUAUGUACGUAGCAUCUGAAAAGCGAAAAGGGGAACAUAAGUACUGCAGAGAAUAGCAUAAGACAAAACAUAAUUUCCACCAUACUUGCUUUCCCAUGAUGACUGAUGACUUGUUUCACCUAGGUUAGGUGCGUGCCAACAUCUCUCUUCGGGAAAUUAAGCAGAAAACAUAACAGUCUGAACAAUUGUCGAGUUCAGAGAACAGCUUCCUUUAUCCCUUCCUAAUAGAGAAGCACAUAAAAGAAGUGGAUACCAGUUCUGAGUUCAGAGUUCAGAAACCAUUUCCAACAUAAGACAAACAUGUAAAGAUGUCAUGUGGAAUCCAACCUCGAAAAUCCAUCGUAAUUCAGCUCAGCUAGUGAGGAACUGAGGAUGUACAGUCACCAUAUGGCGAGCAUUAUCACUCGCCUUCCUAAAUAAAUAUCCUUCUACCUUGCUCAGUGCCUUCUCAGAUUUUCGACGGAUGAUCGGAGGUUGACAAGUAGAUUUGCACCCUUUUGAUUACUCAUAAAUUACAAAUUAAGGGGCAUACCUAGGAGUAUUGACCGGUGGCCGCCGGAGUUGGAGCCGAUGCCCGAAACCCUAGACGAUGCCCGGUGACCUGCUGCUUCUUUUCCUGGGACCUCAUGUCCUCACAAGGCCAUGUCUCGGCGAGGAAGUGCAAGUGGUUGCGUGGCACAUCUGGCCAUCGCCAUUGGCGUCGCUCUGCUGGAUCUCCCUCUCCUUCUGGCACCGAAGAAGGAGGAGGAAGGAGGCGAAGGUCAGGGGGCUGCGGUGGGAGAGAAGGCCCCCGGAUUUGGAGGAGAUGCCGAGGUGCGAGGCCAGUGGUGGCGGUGGGUGAGGAAGGGCAUCGCGGGUGGGAGGGAGAAGGGGAAUUAAGAGAGUGUGGGUUCGGGUUUGGGCCUCCGCGCGCUAUGUGUACACAUGUGUUGGUGGGUUUAUAGCAGUGGCGCCGGGUUUAUACCCCACGCUACUACUAUGGCCUAUCCCGAGGGUACGGUAGAGAC